CACGUAGGGUGCGAGCGUUGUCCGGAAUUAUUGGGCGUAAAGAGCUCGUAGGCGGUGUGUCGCGUCGGCCGUGAAAACCUGCAGCUUAACUGUGGGCUUGCGGUCGAUACGGGCAUCACUGGAGUUCGGCAGGGGAGACUGGAAUUCCUGGUGUAGCGGUGAAAUGCGCAGAUAUCAGGAGGAACACCGGUGGCGAAGGCGGGUCUCUGG
rnacentral:rRNA from 1 species